rnacentral:ncRNA from 1 species
CGUGGUUGACAUGUGUCAGAUUUGAAACUUCUAGUGUGUCGCCUUUAUUUUUUUACGAAAAUCUUUCAAUCCCCUGUGGAAAACCUUAAAUUUCUUCUUUGGCCACUUUAUAACCACAACCGAUAACCAUUUCAAUAAGAGGCUUUAAUUUCCUCUAGAUCUGAAGUUUAAUUAGUUUAAUUCAAUUGGUUUUCGGAGCGCGAGGUAAUGAUUAAGAGGGACAGACGGGGGCAUUCGUACUGUGCGUUAGAGAUGAAAUUCUUAGAUCGGCGCAAGGCGAACGACUGCGAAAAUAUUUGCCAAGAUUUAUUUUCUUUAAUCAAG